AUAGGCCCUGGGUUGGAGAAGUCAAAACAAAGGUCACCAUGUUGUUCUGAGCCUAAGGGGUCUUUGUGAGAUCUUGCACUACAAACUGCAGCCAAGGGGAUCCCGAAUGGGCAAGACUUGAUCCUCAUACUGGUGAAACCUCCUGAGUCCCCAGGGACCCUGUCAGACCAGGCUCCAGCCUCCCUGCGGUCUCUGAGAGAGAAUGUGGCUAGUUCUGCCCCACGGCUCCCUGGCAGGUACCACGGGCAUCAGGUGUAAUGAGAAGUGACAGGCGCAAUUGCUGGGGGAACAUCCCAGCUUAGAGCUGAAGUUGCCCAGAGUAGCUGGAGGGCUUUUCCAGCUGUCAAGAGGGUCCCCAAACACUUGGAGGCUGCAGUCAGUCUGGUUUUCAGCAUUAGCAUCUCAUUAGCAUGGGCUGAGGCCAACCUGGGGCCCGGUCAACAGCCCAGCUUUGUGUGGAGGGAGGGGAAACCAAGAACCCAGGUGGACAGAGGGGAGGAGUUUAGCAGUCUCACCUUGCUCCCUCGUCCAGUCCAGCGGUCAGAAGUGGCCACGCAGAACCCAACAUUCAGCCUGGGUGCAGACACUGCCUCUAGCCUCCUCCCCAAGCACUCUCCUAGUAUGGCAAAACAGCCCUUGAGAGAUUGCAGAAAGCCAUCAACCUUGAAGAUAACAGGAGCCCUCCCAAGGAAAUGUGUUCAGGAGACCUUCUAAGACCAUGCCAUUUCCUGGGUCCCUCUCCCAGUGGGGAAAUUCUCCCAGUAGCAGAUUCUGGCAGACAGCAGAGACACACUCUAUGCCCAACACUAGGCACCGGAUGGAUGAGAUAAUCAUAAAUCCACAAACUGCAACAAGAUAAAAUUAUCAUUAGAUGAAGUUAAAUUAUUAAUUAGCACCUCCAAAAAAAGACCGGCACCACCUGGGCUUGAAUCUUGGAAGCUGUCUUUCUGAAAGCAAGAGAAACAUCAAAAUAGUUUAUCGAUGCUCUGUGGUGUGGGUAUAGCCUAUGGUUCCCAGAAGCCUGAUGGUCAGAGGUCCCACCAGGCAGGCCUGCCCCGCCUGCCCUCUUCUUGCAGUGUUGCCAGAAAUAGCCAGUUUGGAUAAUGUUACUAGGGAAAGGGAAGCAACUAAUGUGACCCAUUUUUAUGACUGGAGAAACUGAGGCAAAGGACGAGGCAGAAAGGCCACAGAAGAUGGCUCAGGGUGGGCUGAAGAAUUUGUGUACUGGGUUGGGAAGGGGUAGGUCCUCAGAUUGCCUGAUUAUCUAAGGACUAAGGAACACUCAUUCGUUCAGUGCACUGCUAUUUUGUGCUUACUAUGUGCCAGGCACCCGGAAUACAGAGGAAAAA
rnacentral:lncRNA from 1 species